GGGCCCGCACAAGCGGUGGAGUAUGUGGUUUAAUUCGAUGAUACGCGAGGAACCUUACCAGGGCUUAAAUGUAAGUUGCAUUAGUUAGAGAUAGCUAUUUCUUCGGACUACUUACAAGGUGCUGCAUGGUUGUCGUCAGCUCGUGCCGUGAGGUGUCAGGUUAAGUCCUAUAACGAGCGCAACCCCUGUUGUUAGUUGCCAUCGAGUCAUGUCGGGAACUCUAACGAAACUGCCAGUGCAAACUGUGAGGAAGGUGGGGAUGACGUCAAAUCAUCACGGCCCUUACGUCCUGGGCUACACACGUGCUACAAUGGCCGGUACAGAGAGCAGCCACUACGCGAGUAGGCGCGAAUCUUCAAAGCCGGUCUCAGUUCGGAUCGGAGUCUGCAACUCGACUCCGUGAAGCUGGAAUC
rnacentral:rRNA from 1 species